GCCGGGCGUGGUGGUGCACACCUGUAAUCCUAGCUACUCAGGAGGCUGAGGCAGGAGAAUUGCUUGAACCCGGGAGGCGGAGGUUGCAAUGAGCCGAGAUCAUGCCAUUGCACUCCAGCCUGGGUGACAGAGCAAGACUCUGUCUCAA
rnacentral:SRP_RNA from 1 species